AGAGUUUGAUCCUGGCUCAGGACGAACGCUGGCGGCGUGCCUAACACAUGCAAGUCGAACGGAACUGUUUUGAAAGAUUUCUUCGGAAUGAAUUUGAUUUAGUUUAGUGGCGGACGGGUGAGUAACGCGUGAGUAACCUGCCUUCAAGAGGGGGAUAACAUUCUGAAAAGAAUGCUAAUACCGCAUGAUAUAUCGGAACCACAUGGUUCUGAUAUCAAAGAUUUUAUCGCUGAAAGAUGGCCUCGCGUCUGAUUAGAUAGUUGGCGGGGUAACGGCCCACCAAGUCGACGAUCAGUAGCCGGACUGAGAGGUUGACCGGCCACAUUGGGACUGAGAUACGGCCCAGACUCCUACGGGAGGCAGCAGUGGGGAAUAUUGGGCAAUGGGCGCAAGCCUGACCCAGCAACGCCGCGUGAAGGAAGAAGGCUUUCGGGUUGUAAACUUCUUUUAAGUGGGAAGAGUAGAAGACGGUACCACUUGAAUAAGCCACGGCUAACUACGUGCCAGCAGCCGCGGUAAUACGUAGGUGGCAAGCGUUGUCCGGAUUUACUGGGUGUAAAGGGCGUGCAGCCGGGCAUGCAAGUCAGAUGUGAAAUCUCAGGGCUUAACCCUGAAACUGCAUUUGAAACUGUAUGUCUUGAGUGCCGGAGGGGUAAUCGGAAUUCCUUGUGUAGCGGUGAAAUGCGUAGAUAUAAGGAAGAACACCAGUGGCGAAGGCGGAUUACUGGACGGUAACUGACGGUGAGGCGCGAAAGCGUGGGGAGCGAACAGGAUUAGAUACCCUGGUAGUCCACGCUGUAAACGAUGGAUACUAGGUGUGCGGGGACUGACCCCCUGCGUGCCGCAGUUAACACAAUAAGUAUCCCACCUGGGGAGUACGAUCGCAAGGUU
rnacentral:rRNA from 1 species